rnacentral:misc_RNA from 1 species
GAUGAAGAACGUAGCGAAAUGCGAUAAGUAAUGUGAAUUGCAGAAUUCAGUGAAUCAUCGAAUCUUUGAACGCACAUUGCGCCCAUUAGCAUUCUAGUGGGCAUGCCUGUUCGAGCGUCAUUUCAACCCUUAAGCCCUGUUGCUUAGCGUUGGGAGCCUACAGUACUGUAGCUCCCCAAAGUUAGUGGCGGAGUCGGUCUCACACUCUAGACGUAGUAAUUUUUUCUCGUCUGUAGUUGAGCCGGUCCCCUGCCGUAAAACACCCAAUUUAUCAAGGUUGACCUCGGAUCAGGUAGGAAUACCCGCUGAACUUAAGCAUAUCAAUAAGCGGAGGA